rnacentral:rRNA from 1 species
GACGAACGCUGGCGGCGUGCUUAACACAUGCAAGUCGAACGGUAAGGCUCCAGCUUGCUGGGGUACACGAGUGGCGAACGGGUGAGUAACACGUGGGUGACCUGCCCUGCACUUCGGGAUAAGCCUGGGAAACUGGGUCUAAUACCGGAUAGGAGCAUGGUGUGGAUACUGUGGGGGAAAGUUUUUUCGGUGUGGGAUGGGCCCGCGGCCUAUCAGCUUGUUGGUGGGGUAAUGGCCUACCAAGGCGGCGACGGGUAGCCGGCCUGAGAGGGUGGACGGCCACAUUGGGACUGAGACACGGCCCAGACUCCUACGGGAGGCAGCAGUGGGGAAUAUUGCACAGUGGGCGGAAGCCUGAUGCAGCAACGCCGCGUGGGGGAUGACGGCCUUCGGGUUGUAAACUCCUUUCGCCAUCGACGAAGGGUUUCUGACGGUAGUUGGUGAAGAAGCACCGGCUAACUACGUG